UUCAUUAAUAAUGAAUGUAAUGUUAACUUAAUCAAGUUGGUUGGCUGCUGUGAUUUCUCUUGACCCUCACUUAAAAUGGGACAUCUAAGUUUCCAACCACUUAACAUGUCUGCCCAAUUCAUGGUCAGCGUUACCCACCCACUGAAGCCCACUGUCUACAGUGCAGAGGCUCUCGCUUUAGAAUGAGGAAGACUUCAUCUACAAACUGUCGUGCCUCCUUCACAGGCCCUGUCAAAGUAUGUAGUUUCCCACCGGGGUACAGGGGGCACUAUGUGUGCUAACCCUGUCAUUUCCUUCUUUCCCCACAGUGUAGAAAAACUGCCCAGUGAGGGCAACUGACUCCGCCCCUUCUGGUUCAGUCUCCGCAAAAAAAACCCUGCGCCUCCCAGCAGGAAACGUCAUUUCUGGCACGUGACCCACCUGAUGGGGUGGCUGACUGGAUGACUGACAGCCCAACCACCUCUGACAUCACGUUCGGUGCCCGUCCCCCUCGACCCGCCUGUUCCUUCCUAACUUCUUGGCAUUACUGAUGCUGGCAAGAAGAAAACAGAUGUUGUUGUCACCGAGUUUGGUAUUCCGUUGUCAACUUUGUCAACUUACCCAAAUGAGCCACUUGGUGCCACAGCCCAC